rnacentral:lncRNA from 1 species
UAAUAUAUUUUUGUUAUAUUACGUAUACCAUGGCUAAAAAACUAAAAUAAAUUGAUAUAUUGCUUUGACCAUCUAUUUUAAUAAAGGUUUGGUCGCUUGAUGCUAGGGACCUUAUGUGAGGCCCCACGUUACUUGUUAAAGUGGGCUCUGAAUUGAAAAAUCAUUGUGGAGCCAUUGGGAUUUGGUGAAUUACCAUGUGGAUAGCAAUAUCAUGUUUCUCAUCAUAAUUCUUUUGGUAAGAGUUCCUCAUCAUACUUGAACUGGUGACCAUUGUUUCUAUGUAAAUCUGACAU